GUAGGUCGUGAUCCGCAGGCCGGGGAUCUCCGCCUUGGCGAGGUCGUCGACGGCCCUGAUGUCGCACAGGGCGUGUUCCACCCGCGCGAUCUCGC
rnacentral:tRNA from 1 species